rnacentral:rRNA from 1 species
CGAAGCUGGCGGCGUGCCUAACACAGCAAGUCAACUUGACUGAAGGAGCAAUCUGACAGUAGAGUGCGCAAGGGUGCGUAACGCGUAAGUAACUUGCCCCAAGGUAAGGAAUAACGUCGAGAAAUACGGCGCUAAUACCUCAUAAUGCAGCGGAUCCGCAUGGAUAUGUUGUUAAAGGUUUACCGCCUUGGGAUAGGCUUGCGUCUGAUUAGUUAGUUGGUGUGGUAACGGCACACCAAGGCUACGAUCAGUAACUGGUCUGAGAGGAUGAUCAGUCACACUGGAACUGAGACACGGUCCAGACUCCUACGGGAGGCAGCAGUGAGGAAUAUUGGGCAAUGCUCGAAAGAGUGACCCAGCAACGCCGCGUGGAGGAUGAAGGUAUUCUAUAUCGUAAACUCCUGUGAGAGCAGACGAAAGACAGAUUAUUAAUCUGGAUGACUGUAUGCUCAGAGGAAGCCCCGGCUAACCUACGUG